rnacentral:rRNA from 1 species
UACGGAGGGUGCAAGCGUUAUCCGGAAUUACUGGGCGUAAAGCGUGCGCAGGCGGUUUUGUAAGCCAGAUGUGAAAUCCCCGGGCUUAACCUGGGAAUGGCAUUUGGGACUGCAAGGCUUGAGUGCGGCAGAGGAGACUGGAAUUCCCGGUGUAGCAGUGAAAUGCGUAGAUAUCGGGAGGAAUACCGAUGGCGAAGGCAGGUCUCUGGGCUGACACUGACGCUCAUGCACGAAAGCGUGGGGAGCAAACAGG